UCAUUUUUGCUUCUUCCUCCCCACCUGAAGUCCUUCCUGAGGGUUUCUUCAGCUUGAAAUGAUGUAAGCCAACCCAUCAGAAGGACCAAACCCAGAAGCUCCAGCUACUGAGGCAGGACCAUGAAAGAGCCUAUGGACAAAACAAUGGCACAUCACUUCUAGUACCUGCCUUGAAAGGUUCCUUCCUGGUUCUCUCUGUGGUGAGGCCAGACAGCUGCAGUCAAUCUCUGAAGACAUCACCCAUGUGAUGAGGAAGGGAAACCUGUCCCAAGUCAGGUACCAAUUGCAAAUACCUUCUUGGCGAGCGGUGGGACUUGGUGUUCACUUUCCCCUUUCAGUGUCGGGAUUUUCAAACGUUCUAUUACGAUGUGAUCCAAAGGCUUUGAUACUUCCAUGCUGAGGAAGGAUGGUAGGAAAACACCAUCUACAUUUUCUGUUUCUAGACCAUCGUGUUUCAGCAUGAACGGUAGAAACACCACAAUUUACAGCACACAGUCGUCUUGAAUUUGAGGUGUUCAGACACCAUGAACAACGCUAAGUGUGCUUGUAUACGUUCAACACCGAGGCUGUCUCAAGUCAUGCCGUGCGAUAUGGGUUUGAGAUGCUAUUUGGGCUUUUCUCAGUGACAUACUAAGUAAACACUUGGAUAAGUGUGCCUUGAAGUUCAGUGGAGACAUCAAAGGCAGAGGUAGACAUUUGAGAACCAUCUGCAAUCCACACGUGAGGUUAUGAGAUGAAGGAGGACUUCCUAGCAAGAAGUGAGAAGUGAUCGGGAAAGGUGAUAUUCAGAUAAUUCGACCUUGUGUAGAUUAAAAGAAAGAAGCCAACAAAGAAAGCUUACAAAGACUGCCCAGUGAGGCAGGAAGUAAAGUGAGGACCAGUGACCUCCCAGUCACUAAGUGAAGCAAGUCUCUUUAGAAGGAGGAACUGAGUAACUGUGUGAAAUUUUGCAAACGUAUUGAGCAAGAUGAGGCCUGAGAUGUGAUGCAGAUCUGCCAACAUGGGAACCAUGUUGACCUUUUCACCAGUGGUCUGAGAAGCCGUGAAGAUGGAAAACUGUAGAGGCUAAAUGAAACAGGUCAUGGGAAACUCAAAUAUUUCCUUCCUUCUCCUGAGAUCCAGGAAUACGUUACAGUAUUGACGGUGGUUAGCUCUUCAUUUUCAACUUGAUUUUGAAUUACCCAGGAGAUUCCAGGCCAGUCUCUGAAGUAGUUUCCAGGAAAGUUUAUUCAAGGAGAGAAGACCCAUCCUGAACGUGGGUGACAUCACCCCAUCA